rnacentral:piRNA from 1 species
GAGGAGGUAGGUACAGGAUAAGG